UUCAGUUCUUAAAAAAAAACAAAAAAAGGAGAGUUCUGCUAGGGUUUCAACCUUAACCCCUUUGAACGCCGCCAACGACCAGGCCGAUCUUCGCCCGAUCUCCGAUUGCGACGGAGUGGGCAAAGCCAGGUAUGCUGCUCCUCCUUUAACCCCUUUUCUUAUAUAUACAUCUAUAUACCAUAACAAAAUAGAAGAACAGAGAAAAAAAGCAAAGAAAAAUUAGAAGGAAAAAAAGAAGGAGUCACCUUCUCUCGAUUUUUAUUUCUUUUUUGAUUUUCGAUACAGUAUGCGUUGUGUAAAAAAAAAGGUUCCUUUUUACAAAUCUUGAUCGCUUUUAUAGCCGGAAAUACAAAAGAAAUCCCUCUAUUUUUUUUUUGUUAUCCUCUGGCCUUUUUCUGCGUUUUGCUGCUGUUUUUUUGUGCAUUGUUGCUGCUUGCGCUCUUUGUGUGUUGCAGGUGUACGGAGGUCGUACGGUGACGUGGCGCGGCUCGACGCAGCGCAUGGAGGCGUGGCACGUAGCGGUGAUGCACGUGCGAAGGCCUGGAUCCCAUUGCUGCGGCGCCUGUGAUUUCUGAAUCUGUUUAGGGUUUCUGUAAAAAUCUGGGCUGGUUUUGGCUAUUGGGCUGGAAUCGGGUGUGUUGGGCUUAGGAUCAGGUUUAGGUUUGGGUUAAAAAAGAUUUGGGCUCCGUUGUAAUAAACUGGACAUGUUUUUUUUUGUAAUUGGACUGUAUUAUUAUUUGUUAUUAUUUUUGGGUUUUCAUUUAGUUUAUUGGGUCGGGCAAAAAUGGGCUCUUACAAAUUAUUUGGCCAAGUAUAUAAAUAUUUGAGUUUCAAAUUUUGAUAUUGUUAAAGUUCUAAACGAUUCUGUUUUUGCCUGCUGCUCAUAAUUCUACCAUAAAACUUUGGAUGUCCAACCAAUUAUAAAAUAAAGAGAGUGGGCCAUUUCAACCACACCCUCA
rnacentral:lncRNA from 1 species